UUAAAUAGUAAUAAUAAAAUAUUAGAUUAUUAAUAGUUAUGUUCUUAAAAAUUAAAAAAUUUGGCGGUAUUUUAAUCUAUUCAGAGGAAUUUGUUUUAUAAUUGAUAAUCCCCAUUAAAUCUUACUUAAUUUAAAUUUAUUUGUAUAUCGUCGUCAUAAGAAAAUCUUAAUAAAGAAUAAAUUUUCUAAAAUUUAAAUUUAAAAUAAUGUCAGAUCAAGGUGCAGUUAAUAAUUAAGAAAAAAUGAAUUACAAUAAAUUUAUUUAAUAAUGAAUAUAAAAUUUAAAUAUUUUAUUGAAGGUGGAUUUGAUAGUAAAAUAAUUAAUAAAAAUUGCUUGAUUAUAGUUCUAAAAUAUGC
rnacentral:rRNA from 1 species